UACGGAGGGGGCUAGCGUUGUUCGGAAUUACUGGGCGUAAAGCGCACGUAGGCGGCUUUGUAAGUUAGAGGUGAAAGCCCGGGGCUCAACUCCGGAACUGCCUUUAAGACUGCAUCGCUUGAAUCAUGGAGAGGUUAGUGGAAUUCCGAGUGUAGAGGUGAAAUUCGUAGAUAUUCGGAAGAACACCAGUGGCGAAGGCGACUCACUGGACAUGUAUUGACGCUGAGGUACGAAAGCGUGGGGAGCAAACAGG
rnacentral:rRNA from 1 species